rnacentral:pre_miRNA from 1 species
UCUUAUGGAUGAGCAAAGAAAAUGGUUUCUUGAGAUGGAAACUACUUCUGGUGAAGACACUGUGAA